rnacentral:rRNA from 1 species
AGAGUUUGAUCCUGGCUCAGAUUGAACGCUGGCGGAAUGCUUUACACAUGCAAGUCGAACGGCAGCACGGGGGCAACCCUGGUGGCGAGUGGCGAACGGGUGAGUAAUACAUCGGAACGUGCCCAGUCGUGGGGGAUAACGUAGCGAAAGCUACGCUAAUACCGCAUACGAACUCUGGUUGAAAGCGGGGGAUCGCAAGACCUCGCGCGAUUGGAGCGGCCGAUGGCAGAUUAGGUAGUUGGUGGGGUAAAGGCUCACCAACCCGACGAUCUGUAGCUGGUCUGAGAGGACGACCAGCCCCACUGGGACUGAGACACGGCCCAGACUCCUACGGGAGGCAGCAGUGGGGAAUUUUGGACAAUGGGCGCAAGCCUGGUCCAGCCAUUCCGCGUGCAGGAUGAAGGCCCUCGGGUUGUAAAAUGCUUUUGUACGGAACGAAAAGGCCUGGGUUAAUACCUCGGGCUCAUGACGG